rnacentral:rRNA from 1 species
GAUGAACGCUAGCUACAGGCUUAACACAUGCAAGUCGCGGGGCAGCAUGGGGGUUGCUUGCAAUCCCCGAUGGCGACCGGCGCACGGGUGAGUAACGCGUAUCCAACCUGCCCUUCACCACGGGAUAACCCGGCGAAAGUCGGACGAAUACCGUAUGUUGUCCAUUGACGGCAUCCGAUUUGGACGAAAGGCUUGGCGGUGAGGGAUGGGGAUGCGUCCGAUUAGCCAGACGGCGGGGUAACGGCCCACCGUGGCUACGAUCGGUAGGGGUUCUGAGAGGAAGGUCCCCCACACUGGAACUGAGACACGGUCCAGACUCCUACGGGAGGCAGCAGUGAGGAAUAUUGGUCAAUGGGCGUAAGCCUGAACCAGCCAAGUAGCGUGCAGGAUGACGGCCCUAUGGGUUGUAAACUGCUUUUAUGCGGGGAUAAAGUGGCCCACGUGUGGGCUUUUGCAGGUACCGCAUGAAUAAGGACCGGCUAAUUCCGUG